AUGGUUUCUCUGCCUUUUGGCUGAGAUCAAUUGUACUCUCUGUUCUUUUCAGUGUAAUAUCCGAUAUGUCCUCGAGAUGAGGGCUACAUAUUGAAUUGAUUUUUGGAACAUGGAGAUAGAAGAUGAGCUUGAUCCUUCUGCUCCACUCAUCAGUUUGGUAUAGCAGUACCAGUGAAUGAUUUAUCUACA
ensembl:snRNA U2 U2 spliceosomal RNA